rnacentral:rRNA from 1 species
CCGGCUAACUUCGUGCCAGCAGCCGCGGUAAUACGAAGGGACCUAGCGUAGUUCGGAAUUACUGGGCUUAAAGAGUUCGUAGGUGGUUGAAAAAGUUGGUGGUGAAAUCCCAGAGCUUAACUCUGGAACUGCCAUCAAAACUUUUCAGCUAGAGUUUGAUAGAGGAAAGCAGAAUUUCUAGUGUAGAGGUGAAAUUCGUAGAUAUUAGAAAGAAUACCAAUUGCGAAGGCAGCUUUCUGGAUCAAUACUGACACUGAGGAACGAAAGCAUGGGUAGCGAAGAGGAUUAGAUACCCUCGUAGUCCAUGCCGUAAACGAUGUGUGUUAGACGUUGGAAAUUUAUUUUCAGUGUCGCAGCGAAAGCGAUAAACACACCGCCUGGGGAGUACGACCGCAAGGUUAAAACUCAAAUGAAUUGACGGGGACCCGCACAAGUAGUGGAGCAUGUGGUUUAAUUCGAAGAUACGCGCAGAACCUUACCAACACUUGACAUGUUCGUCGCGACUCUAAGAGAUUAGAGUUUUCGGUUCGGCCGGACGAAACACAGGUGCUGCAUGGCUGUCGUCAGCUCGUGUCGUGAGAUGUUGGGUUAAGUCCCGCAACGAGCGCAACCCUCACUUUUAGUUGCCAUCAUUUAGUUGGGCACUCUGAAAGAACUGCCAGUGAUAAGCUGGAGGAAGGUGGGGAUGACGUCAAGUCCUCAUGGCCCUUACGUGUUGGGCUACACACGUGCUACAAUGGUAUCUACAACAGGAAGCAAAACGGCGACGUUAAGCAAAUCCUUAAAAGAUACCUCAGUUCGGAUUGCACUCUGCAACUCGAGUGCAUGAAGCUGGAAUUACUAGUAAUCGUGGAUCAGCGUGCCACGGUGAAU